GUGCCAGACACAUAAUUGGACAAUUUGAAAAAUUAAAACAAAAAUAUCCAAUUAUUUUCAGACAUAUUAGUCUGUUUCUUGCCUCCUGUUUUUUAAUUUGGACAAGUGGCUUUCCAGAAUUAAUAUUGCUGCAAUGCAUGAUGCAUCUGUCUGGUGUGUCUUUCUUUUUUUCCUGUUUUUAUGCCUGGUUGACUAGCAUUUUUCUUUUCAAUAGCAGAUCUCUUGCAGCAGUGUCAUUCUAUAGUGGUACUACAAUACAUACAAACCGCUUCGUAUUUUGUGUUUAUAUAUACAAUAAAAAACCAAGAGUUAGUCACGAGUGUCUCCUCAUUUUCGCUGCCGGCAAAUUCCUAUUGUUUGUUCAAUUCCGUGUAGUUAUUUUUUUGCCUCCGCCACACAACACAAAGGCUAACAAUCAGAGCCCAGACCGAUACUUCACUCUCAGUGUAGUGUAGCUCAAGAAUGGAAGCUGUGGAUUCCACGCGUGCAUUUGUCAAAGACGUUAAACGUGUCAUCAUCAAGGUCGCAUUUCUUAUUUUCCAUGUAUUUUUUUUCAUUAUUGGGAUUAAAUUUAUAGUAUUCAAACUCCGAUUUUUGUAAUUACUUAAAUUGUACACGGGAUUUGUUUCAUUAUUUAUUUAUUUAUUUAUUUAUGUUAAUUUACUUGAAUUCUAUAAUUUUGGUUAAUGGUUUACAUUUGUUUGUAUUACUGAAUUGCAAUGAAUUUCAAUUCCCAAUUUAUGUAGAGGUGAAGGUUCACCCUUUGAACCACUGGAUUACUACUUACUAGGAAUGGGGUUCAGUAGAAAAAUAGUCGUUAUAACUGUUUUUCUUUUCUGCUUUGAAAAAAAGAAAAAAGGAAAACACAACAUAUUCAAUUUUCAUGUUCUUCUUAAAUGUUUUGAGUCCGGACAUUAAAUAAUGGGUCAGUAGAUGAUGAGACUAACUGGGGAGGUGUACCAAUAAUUUCAAGGGAGAAUAAUUUGUAUGUCUUAUGCAUUAGAAGGUUGAUUGAAAUGUAGACUGAUUCUUGAGUAAGCUUUAUUUUUAUAGGUCUCGAGUAAUUUUUUGAACUUUGACAUACAGGUAUUUUGUAUUCAAGUUGCAUAUGGAAAUUUGCGAACUCUUGUUGGCCGAAAAUGUUUAAUUACUGUUAUAAGUAAGAGAUAUUGUAAAUUAACAAUUGGAGAGGUAGGGUUGUGAGAAGGAAAUAUAAAUGCUAAAAANAA
rnacentral:lncRNA from 1 species